rnacentral:rRNA from 1 species
AUUGAACGCUAGCGGGAGGCCUUACACAUGCAAGUCGAACGGAGCGGCGAACGGGCGAGUAAUGUAUUGGAACGUGCCCAGCAGCGGGGGAGAACUACGCGAAAGCGUAGCUAAUACCGCACACAAUUGGUGCGGCCGACAUGGGAUUAGCUAGUUGGUGGGGUAAGGGCCCACCUAGGCGACGAUCCGUAGCUGGUUUGAGAGGAGGACAAGCCACACUGGAACUGAGACACGGCCCAGACUCCUACGGGAGGCAGCAGUGGGGAAUUUUGUACAAUGGGAGAAACCCUGAUCCAGCCAUCCCGCGUGUGGGAUGAAGGCCUUCGGGUUGUAAAGCACUUUUGGCAGGAAAGCGGUACCUGCAGAAUAAGCACCGGCUAACUCCGUGCCAGCAGCCGCGGUAAUUC